GAGCGCCGUAGCAAUACAGGAGUGGCAGACGGGUGAGUAACACGUGGGAACGUGCCCUUCGGUUCGGAAUAACCCAGGGAAACUUGGGCUAAUACCGGAUACGUCCGCAAGGAGAAAGAUUUAUCGCCGAGGGAUCGGCCCGCGUCCGAUUAGCUAGUUGGUGAGGUAACGGCUCACCAAGGCGACGAUCGGUAGCUGGUCUGAGAGGAUGAUCAGCCACACUGGGACUGAGACACGGCCCAGACUCCUACGGGAGGCAGCAGUGGGGAAUAUUGGACAAUGGGCGCAAGCCUGAUCCAGCCAUGCCGCGUGAGUGAUGAAGGCCCUAGGGUUGUAAAGCUCUUUCGGCGGGGAAGAUAAUGACGGUACCCGCAGAAGAAGCCCCGGCUAACUUCGUG
rnacentral:rRNA from 1 species